ACUUUUUUUGUUUUAAAAGCUACUGAACGUUAGCUUUCAAAUUUCAGAUCACUGGACUUUCCAAGCAAGAUGUCAAGUGCUAGACCUCAAGGCAUCUAUGUUCUUGUAAGAAAAUUCAGAUGGAUACCUAUAGGUAUGUUCACACAGCUCUAUAACAUGAAGGCAUAAAAAAUGCCUCUUUAUUUUUUAGUCAAAUUAAGUCGAAUAAGACCCUCCUUUCCAAAGGUGAUGAAUAGUCUAAUGUCUGCCAUUUUGGAAGGUUCUUUCCCCUUCCCAUGAGCAUAAGAACUCAGGGGGCUUAUAUAAUUUUUUUAAAACAAGAAGGAUCCAGGAGUUCCCUUGUGACACAGUGAGUUAUGGAUCCCGCAUUGUCCCUGCAGCCGCUUGGGUCACUGCUGUGGCACAGCUUCGAUCCCUGGCCUGGAAACUUCUACAUGCCUUGGGUGAAGCCAAAACGUUGAAACAUUUUUAAAAAUAAUAAAAAAGAGAAGGAUCCUGAUCAUCACCCCAGGAUGGCAUACACUGCCUUGCUCUUUGUGUAGAAGGUAUGCUAGGUGUAUGCAGUGACAGGUGCUUUUAAUCUCUCCUCCAUGUCAAGUUCAACCCUGAAGGAGAGUCCUCACACAGCCCAGCAGCUGCUGCCUCGUAUGUCUCUCCAUCUCUGAGAUGCUGAGUUCAAGUGGGCUCAGCUCCUCCCUGUUUAUGAAAGUCACACUCUUCUUUCAAGCCCUGGGGGACUUCGCCACCACCUCGCCAUCCUUCCAGCUCUCAAGUCACACAGCACCUCCUGUCACUGUAUGUCCCACAGCCCUGUCAUAGCAUCUUCAUAGCACAGAUCAGUCUCUGAAACCAUUGGAUUAUGGACUUUGUGUUGGCGUUCUGUGUUCCUCAGAAAAACAUAAAUUCCAUGAGAGCAGAAUCUUUGCCAAACCUAUUUGCUGAUUGAUCUCCCAUGCCUAGAAAAGAGCCUGGCGCACAUCAGUGACAAAUAUCUGUUGAAUGAAUAACUGAAAGUGCCAGGUCUCCAACCUCCUCCUUUCCUUGUACUGUCCAACAUUCUUCUGCCAAGAGGCCCUAACCCCAUAUGGACAUAGGUCUUCAAAAACAGCAUAUCUCAGGAAUGGAAAAUGGGAAAGUGUUUUUUUUGUUCUUUCAAGCUGAGUCCACAGCAGAAGAAAACUCAGUUAAUUUUUCAAUCACUUACCACAAACACAUAUAUACAGAUAUAGCUAUAAUGUCAGGAUGAUUUUAAGGGAACAGUUGAUUAGGAACUGAACUGGACUACAUCACAAAACUGAUUUGAAUUCAGUGAACUUCAGAGUGAUGAUCUGGGGAGUUCCCUGGUGGCCUACCAAGUUAAGGACCCAGCAUGGUCACUGCUGUGGCUCAGGUCACUGCUGUGGUGCAGAUUCGAUCCUUGGCCUGAGAACUUCUGCAUGCCAAGGGUGCAGCCAAAAAAAAAAAAAAAGAGAGUGAUGAUUUGGACUUGACUUAGAGUGGCUUUUGCUUUUAUUUGCUACCCAACUACCCAAUGAUCAGUGAAGUAAAUAUACACAAGAAGAACGCUAUGGAAGAGUAGAAUACUUCUCACUGCCUUCCUAAUUCCUCACAGGGAAGCCCCUGGAAUUGAGUGGUUUCUUUAGGUUAAGUAGAGUAAGAAAUUGGCCAAGACAAAAGAGCCUAGAAUCUCAGUUCAUUGACUUUUAUAGGCACUUCCUAACCAUAUGGGAAAGUCCUGCUGCACAAAGGCACAUCUGUCCUCUGUUUCUAACAGCACCAAUAGGCCAGCUUCAGGUGUGGGGCAUGAAGCUUGGCCACAACGCAUCACAGGAAUUAUGGUAGGAAAUAGAUUGGUUAUCAUCAAAAGAUAAUAGUAACAAAUGAUAGGAUCAUUUGAGUCCUGAUGUAUGGUUUAAACAAAGAGAGUCAUGUGCUAUGGAAAACAGGAAGAAGAUGCUCUCAAACCUACAAAGUGGUUUUGUUUAUAGACCUGGAGAAGAGUAGAAGGUGAAUAUGCAGGGCACUCACCCACAGAAGCAAGCCUGGCUCAAAAGGAGGUGGCAAGCAGGGGUUUACACUGAGAGACUGGAGCCACCUGGUGGAGAAUGUUGAAAGCAACCAAGAAGAAUCAGUGAUCAACUAGUGAAAUCAAAUCCCAGAAGUGGUGACUCUAAGAGAGUCUUUAUUUUCAUAUAUAAAAUCGAGAGCCAGAAAAAUGUAAGUGAUGUGCCAAAGCUGAGAGAAUUAGGUAACGGCAUUGUUAAAUGAGUGACCCUUGGAUACGAUGUAUAGCCAGUAAGCCUUUCUUGCAUGAAUCAGUAACAAACGCCUGAUUACAAGCCCUUCUCAAAAAGCAAAAGUCUCUACUUGACAUGGAAGCAUUGCAAGAGCUUUUGAUUAAAACGGAACCCCUAGUGGGGUUGCACAGAGUAAAUGUUAGCACUCUGGACUCUGAAACAGAACCCAUAGUUGAUAAAAAGGACAUUUCUGUAGAGCUAGAGCUCCUAAAGGAAGAAAGGAAAUUCCAGUGAUGAGGUCAAAGUGACCCAUCUCUUACCUAACUUACAGACUCAGCUUAGGCUAUGAGGACAGGCUGCCAUCUGCUGUAUCUGAGAGUCCCAGGAUCUACAUGUCAAGCCAUUUCUUCAGAACUGGGCGAGUAAUAACAGUGUCUUGUUUCUUUACCAUAUGGUCCAUCUCAGGAAGGUACCUUGAUACCCAUGUGUUGGAAGCAGCCAGCAGGUAGCAGUGACUAGGCCUGUAUUGGGUAUAUAUCCAGACAGUCCACAUUCAGGUAGAUCAGCACUGUUGAAUCCACAGUCUCCUAAACAAGUCAAGCAAGCAAAUAAAAAAUCUGCCUUCCACCUCAAUCACAGUUCAUAUUGAGGUGAUGCUUUCAUACCAGGUUCUCACAGCACACCCAGCCUAAUACCUGGCACACAGAGACUUGAUUCAUGUUUGUUAAAUGCAUGGAUCCAUCCAUCAAUAAACCCAGGUAACCACAUGAAAACCAUUGCUAACUGCUCUGCAAGCUGAAUUCCAGAAUAAACACGCUGCCAGUAAAAAAAGCUUCCGAGGCUAAAGGGUGGUAUAUGUACCAGGAAUUUUUGUCCAAAUGCCAAGGGUUGAUGGAGGAGGAAGAUGGGAUACAUCCCAGCUGGCACAGCUCGGCAGAGCCCACUGCCAGAGGAGGAACAGAGGUGGAGGCAGAUCUUUGUGCCAAUCCGGUGAACUCGGAAGCUGGGAGGAUUUCAUCCCAUCUCUCCUCAUGAAUUAUUGAGGCCAGUCACUUACUCUUGUUCCUAUUUUGUCAUUUUUAAGAAGCAGGACUGGACAGAGGCGACUGAAGUUCUGAUCAUCUUGUCAAUCACACAGAAAACCUUGCCCUGCUGAACAAUACUAGGAUCCCAGCUUCGAAGCCCAAAUUUCCUGCUUGAUUUGGGAAUAGGGAGAAAGAACCAAAGAGGAAAUCAGAGGCUUACCCAAGCAAGACAGUUACACACCCCAAGGUCUGAGUGGUUUAAGUUUAAACCCAUCUUGAUCUUUGAAGGAAGGAGUUUCUGAAAAAAAUUCUUAGAAGACUAUGGAAGGGAGUUCCCCUUAUGGCUCAACAGUAACCAACCCAGCUAGUAUCCAUGAGGAUGCAGGUUCAAUCCCUGGCUUUGCUCAGUGGGUUAAAGAUCCAUCAUUGCCAUGUGCAGAUGCAACUCGGAUCCCUGCUGUGGCUAUGGUGUAGGAGGCAGCUUCAGCUCCAAUUCAGCCCCUAGCCUGGGAACUUCCAUAUACCACAGGUGCUGCCCUAAAAGGCAAAUAAAUAAAUAAAUAUAUUCAAUCAAGCAAAAGAAACAAUAUACUAAGAACGCAAGGAAAUAGAAGGAAAUCUCACUAGAUAGAGAAUAUCAAUAAAUACCUAGAAAUUAUAGAAAGGAACCAAAUAGAAAUGCUAGAUUUAAAAAUAAAGUACAGGAGGAGUUCCCAUUGUGGCACAUGGAAACGAAUCCAACUAGUAUCCAUGAGGACUCAGGUUUGAUCCCUGGCUUCACUCAGUGGGUUAAGGAUCGGGCACUGCCGUGAGCUGUGGUGUAGGUCACAGAAGCAGCUCAGAUCCCAUGUUGCUGGAGCC
rnacentral:lncRNA from 1 species